GUGGGGAAUCUUGCGCAAUGGGCGAAAGCCUGACGCAGCCAUGCCGCGUGAAUGAUGAAGGUCUUAGGAUUGUAAAAUUCUUUCACCGGGGACGAUAAUGACGGUACCCGGAGAAGAAGCUCCGGCUAACUUCGUGCCAGCAGCCGCGGUAAUACGAAGGGGGCUAGCGUUGCUCGGAAUUACUGGGCGUAAAGGGCGCGUAGGCGGACAGCUUAGUCAGAGGUGAAAGCCCAGGGCUCAACCUUGGAAUUGCCUUUGAUACUGGCUGUCUUGAGUUUGGGAGAGGUGAGUGGAACUCCGAGUGUAGAGGUGAAAUUCGUAGAUACUCGGAAGAACACCAGUGGCGAAGGCGACUCACUGGCCCAAUACUGACGCUGAGGCGCGAAAGCGUGGGGAGCAAACAGGAUUAGAAACCCGAGUAGUCC
rnacentral:rRNA from 1 species